GGCCCUGAACGAGCGGCGGAAGCGACGGAAGCAACACCGCCUGAAAUGCCCUCUUGCAAUUCUGACACCGCAAACAGCAACCCUCAUAAACCCUAGGAUACUCAAAUAACACGUAACAGUAAGGGCAAGCGGUCCAGAAACUCGAUAAUUUCAGCCGCUGAUUCGGUGAUUGAUCGGCGUUGGCGUUGGCGUUGGCGUUGGCGUUGGCGUUGGCGUU
rnacentral:misc_RNA from 1 species